AACAAAGUGUUUGCCACAUUAGCACAACUACCACUUUCAAUGAUCAUGCCACAUACCUUAUCAUUGACAAGACAUUGCGUGUGAAAGAUGUUCUCCCUCUACUCAAUGUCUUCACUCCUAACUUGCAUGUUGAGAGCUCUUCAGACAACAAGUACAUUACUCCCAAGUGGAGUAUCUUCGAUGGAUUGAGACAUAGUGCAGUAGAUACAAGAAAGGUUAGUGAAAAGAAUACAUUCUCUUCCUCACCUUUGCUCGUGUUUACCUCACAAUCCUUCGGUUAAUAGCUUUGUCUAUCGAUUUGAGCAUUUAGAAUUCAGAAUCAUUUGAAUCGAAUCUGCAUGUUAGUCCUUACGACAUAACAAGGAACCCUAAAGGA
rnacentral:lncRNA from 1 species